ACGAUCAGUAGCCGACCUGAGAGGGUGACCGGCCACAUUGGGACUGAGACACGGCCCAAACUCCUACGGGAGGCAGCAGUGGGGAAUAUUGCACAAUGGGCGCAAGCCUGAUGCAGCGACGCCGCGUGAGUGAAGAAGUAUCUCGGUAUGUAAAGCUCUAUCAGCAGGGAAGAAAAUGACGGUACCUGACUAAGAAGCCCCGGCUAACUACGUGCCAGCAGCCGCGGUAAUACGUAGGGGGCAAGCGUUAUCCGGAUUUACUGGGUGUAAAGGGAGCGUAGACGGCGACGCAAGUCUGGAGUGAAAGCCCGGGGCCCAACCCCGGGACUGCUUUGGAAACUGUGUUGCUGGAGUGCAGGAGAGGUAAGUGGAAUUCCUAGUGUAGCGGUGAAAUGCGUAGAUAUUAGGAGGAACACCAGUGGCGAAGGCGGCUUACUGGACUGUAACUGACGUU
rnacentral:rRNA from 1 species